UUUUGGAGGGUCCUGCAGUGUUUUGUGAUGCCAACACCAGCCCAGCAUUCUGGCAUGGCACAGGAGCAGGAGCUGGCAGGGCUGGCCCUGCCAAGGGUCUCAGUUACAGAACUGCUGCUUCCUUCCCUGAUGAACACCCAAGGAAGCUGCAGGGGCAAAUGCAUGCCCCAGAUCUAAUUUUAGCCCCCUGUUAUUUCCAGGUGAAGUCACAAGGCCAGCAGAGCUGGGUAAGAGGAUUCUGUGCUCACACYGCCUGGCACGGGGCCAUGAAGGAAACAGUUACUUAAGGACAAGGGAUUACACCUGAAAUCUUUCCAUCCUCAUUGCAGAAUCCCAAAAUGAAUAAAGGCCUUUACCCCAUACACAAACAGGCUUUGGGAGUGCCAAAUUUCUGGUGCUUGGAUUUUUUAGGAUUUAUCUUCACUCUUCCAGUGCCUGAGCAGAAGUGGGGAGCACUUGAAGAGAUUCUUCACAGCCCCUGCCAGAGCCACAAGAGCCCCAUUCCACCUGCCCUUGCUGUUUAAUCUGUCACAUCUUGAACUGAUCUGUACCUCUACCACAUCUGGAGCCCAGACAUAAAACUCUGCUGCCCAGUAGCCAGGAUUUGGGAACAUGUCCAACCACCUCUGUGUACCCUGCCUCUCCCAAGAAUUCAACGAGCACCCCGAGUCUGCCAUUCCAGAACAUUCCUAAUUUCUCUGAUGCUCCAGUCUAAGGAGGAGAAGGAAGAGGCUCAUUGCACAGGUACCAACACGUGCCUGGAGAUUUACCUGCUCCCAGUGGCAAGAUGUGACUUGGAUGGAAGAAAAAAACCUGAGCCUGGUUCUUCCUGGCACCUGGGACUGUUCUGGCAGUUGGGAGUAGCAGUCUGGAGAGCUGUUGAUUUGCAGUAAUAAUUGUGGAAAGGUUGGUGGCCAGGAUAAAGAACACUCACCCAGGAGCUUUGGUUCACAUUCCCAGCACAGCCUCUGGAGACUACAGGUGAAAUGGAGAAGCUGCACAGACAAAUCACUGGAAACCCAAAGAAUUAAUCAGAAGGUGAAGUUACACCACACUGUCACUGUAAAAGCACCCAAGCCUUGAUUACAGCCUGUCAGCAAGAGAACCACAGAAUCUGGACAAAAAAAAUAUUACAAGAGGCUUAGCAUUUAAUGCUCUAAAGCACUAAAUCCACAGCAAAUCCUCCUGAAUCUAAAUAUGCCUAAGACAUAUUUUAACUUUUUUUA